rnacentral:rRNA from 1 species
AAGUUUAAAGACGAAUCUAACUAACAGUGUCGUCCAAAUUCUGGUGCCAGAAGACUCGGUAAUACCAGAGACGCGAACGUUAAUCAUCUUGAAUGGGCAUAAAGGGUUUGUAGGCGGCUUAUUUAUUAAUAGGCUAGAAUCUUAGAGAGGUUAAUAAAAUACUUAGAGGAGGGCUGAUAUCCUUAGAUCCUAAGUGGAAUCCUAAUUGCGAAGGCCAUUUUCCACUACAGAUUGACGCUGAUACACGAAGGUUAGGAUAGGAACUAGGAUUAGAGACCCUAUUACCCCUAACUGUAAACGAUGAAUGGAAGAUAUUUACAACUGUAAGUGUCGAAGUGAAUACGAUAACCAUUCCGCCUUGCCAGUAUACUUGCAAAAGUGAAAACAAAAAAAUUAGUCGGUCCUAAAGCAAACG